CGGGGAAAAAAUGUCAGCGUGCAGCGGCAGUGACACACACCAGGGCCCGAGAUGGAGAGGGUGUGGUGGCUGUGGUCCGAUCCGGAUGAUCGUAUCCAUGGGGAUUGGGGUGGAUUGCUCCACGCCUUGGACGCGCAGCCGGGAAGGCAUGGCAGGAUCUUCCUCCUUGCUUGCCAGCUGGAGUCACGCGCCGGCGAUGAGCCACCGGGAGAGGAGAGGGGCCAGCAGCUCUCGAGCCUAACCCCAGCCCCGAGCCCGUCUGCCUGCUCGUCCUCCGGCAGCUCCAGCGAGGAGCUUUUCAGUAUCUCCAGCCCCGCUGUGCUGGCAGCGAUGCUUCGGGCUGGCUCAGCACUUCGGCUCCCGUCCUCCCGCGUGCCUCGGGUGGGGAUGGGGCAGGCUCCCUCCUCCCGGUCCCCUCCCGGAGCAGGGGGGAGGUGACAGCUGGGCGAUGUGGGAUGCUGUGAGACACCGAGUCCCACUUUCCAAAUGUGGGCCGUUGCCUCCCGAAGUGCAGGAGGCAGCUCUCCCGGGAGAUCAGGUGUUGCGAGACUCGUGACUGUACCAUGCAAAUGCUGGGGGCUGUGAAUAAGCACGUACUUGUGCUCCACGUGGGCUGGAGGUGCCGUGGUCCAGGCGGCACAGCCCGGGGCUCGUGCUCCCCGGCCGGGUCACGGCACGAGGGGCUGGCAGCAGAGCCACAGGCACCGGCACCCCGGGAGAUGCUGUUUGCAGGUCAGCCCCUCUCCGACCGGGCAGGUUAAUCAAGAGCAGGGCUUACAUAAAGCACGCUGGGUCUCCUCCUGCAGUCCAUGCCCUCGCCGUACCACAGAGCCUCCCUAGGGUCAGCUUUUUUUUUUGUUUGUUUUUGCAGCCCCAAAUGGAGGGCUGAACCCAAAGCGUGCUGCUCUGAGGGCUGGCCAGUUCUGAAUUUCUAGCCUCAACCUGCACCUCGUUCCUGUUUUUCUGGUGGUACCCAACCCUUUUUCCUCCUCCCUUGAUCCCAGGAGCCAGGAUGCAGGGAGCUGGCAGCAGGACGUGGCCCCAGUGCCCCGAAGUGCAAUGGGGAGAGCCACGUCCCCAAAGUCUCUUGGCUUGAGCAGCGCCCUUGUGCUAGCUUGAGGAUUCCUUCCUCUUGCAACUGUCAGUGCACUGAAAAAAGAAAGAAAAUAAAUAAAAAGCAAUGACAUUUUUA